GAUGAACGCUGGCGGCGUGCCUAAUACAUGCAAGUCGAGCGAACAGACGAGGAGCUUGCUCCUCUGACGUUAGCGGCGGACGGGUGAGUAACACGUGGAUAACCUACCUAUAAGACUGGGAUAACUUCGGGAAACCGGAGCUAAUACCGGAUAAUAUAUUGAACCGCAUGGUUCAAUAGUGAAAGACGGUUUUGCUGUCACUUAUAGAUGGAUCCGCGCCGCAUUAGCUAGUUGGUAAGGUAACGGCUUACCAAGGCAACGAUGCGUAGCCGACCUGAGAGGGUGAUCGGCCCCACUGGAACUGAGACACGGUCCAGACUCCGACGGGAGGCAGCAGUGGGGAAUCUUCCGCAAUGGGCGAAAGCCUGACGGAGCAACGCCGCGUGAGUGAUGAAGGUCUUCGGAUCGUAAAACUCUGUUAUUAGGGAAGAACAAAUGUGUAAGUAACUAUGCACGUCUUGACGGUACCUAAUCAGAAAGCCACGGCUAACUACGUG
rnacentral:rRNA from 1 species